rnacentral:rRNA from 1 species
CAGUAGCCGCGGUAAAACCAGCAGCCCAAGUGGUGGUCGCGAUUAUUGGGCCUAAAGCGCUCGUAGCCGGGCCGGUAAGUCCCUUGUGAAAUCGGACGGCCUAACCGUUCGGCAUGCAAGGGAUACUGUCGGUCUUGAGGCCGGGAGACGUCCGAGGUACUCCGGGGGUAGCGGUGAAAUGUUCUGAUCCUCGGGGGACCACCGGUGGCGAAGGCGUUCGACGAGAACGGGCCUGACGGUGAGGGGCGAAGGCUAGGGGAGCAAACGGGAUUAGAUACCCCCGUAGUCCCUGUCUCUUAUA